AGAUGUGAGGGUGAUCUGGCUGCGACAUCUGUCACCCCAGUGAUCAUCAGGGUUGAUUUGGCUGAUUUGGCUGGCUAGGCGGGUGUCCCCUUCCUCCCUCACCACUCCAAGCACGUCCCUCCCAAAGCUCGGUCAGUCGAAGAGGACAGCCUUCCCCGAAUAGAGACGGACCAGCUCAAAAG
rnacentral:snRNA from 1 species